GAAACUGUCUGUUUCUGUUUCUAUAAGACCCAUAACAUCGGUAGAAACUGUCUGAUGUUUCUGUCUCUAUAAGUCCCAUAACAUCGGUAGAUACUGUUUU